rnacentral:rRNA from 2 species
UGUUUCGGCUAGGGGGCCAUCCCGGCUUACCAACCCGAUGCAAACUGCGAAUACCGGAGAAUGUUAUCACGGGAGACACACGGCGGGUGCUAACGUCCGUCGUGAAGAGGGAAACAACCCAGACCGCCAGCUAAGGUCCCAAAGUCAUGGUUAAGUGGGAAACGAUGUGGGAAGGCCCAGACAGCCAGGAUGUUGGCUUAGAAGCAGCCAUCAUUUAAAGAAAGCGUAAUAGCUCACUGGUCGAGUCGGCCUGCGCGGAAGAUGUAACGGGGCUAAACCAUGCACCGAAGCUGCGGCAGCGACACUGUGUGUUGUUGGGUAGGGGAGCGUUCUGUAAGCCUGUGAAGGUGUGUCGUGAGGCAUGCUGGAGGUAUCAGAAGUGCGAAUGCUGACAUAAGUAACGAUAAAGCGGGUGAAAAGCCCGCUCGCCGGAAGACCAAGGGUUCCUGUCCAACGUUAAUCGGGGCAGGGUGAGUCGACCCCUAAGGCGAGGCCGAAAGGCGUAGUCGAUGGGAAACGGGUUAAUAUUCCCGUACUUGGUGUUACUGCGAAGGGGGGACGGAGAAGGCUAUGUUGGCCGGGCGACGGUU